GACCGGGCCGGUGCGGUUCGACGGGCUCGUCGGCUGGGCCGAGGAGGUCCACAACCGCUGGUGAGCGCGGUGCGACUCCGCCCCGCUUGCCA
rnacentral:tRNA from 1 species